CGAAGACAAACGAAGGUCUUACGGGUAUGGGACGACAUGAGGGCCCAAUUCUGGCCAGGUGGGGGAUAAAAACGCCUAUGGCAAUCUCUUCGCUCCAAGGUCAAUUUGGAAUUCUGCUCAGGCCGGUUGCAUGCAGGUUGCAUGGAGGCUGUUGCCGUGGGAGCUUUAGAACAAUCCGUAGCAACGGCAUCCAUCAAGACCGUACCAGGGAAAAGCCAUGACCGACAGCAUCUUGAAAAAGUUGAAAAAGUCAAACAGGGAUUUGAGAUGGCAUUCAGAAAGAUAAAUAAUAAAAUUAAAUGUCCAGGUUUAAAAAAAAAAUCAAGAAUCCUUUGUUUAUGACCUGCUUCACAUUGAAAUGAGUCAUAAUCAGUGCAAAUCUGAUUGACCCUAUGACCGGAUUUACAGUAAAUGCCAAUGGAGGGAUCAUUAAAUCAUUAUUACAGUUCUACUAAUGAGAUUUUUAAUUAGUUAAAAACAUCAAUGUGAACAUGAUGGGAUAUUUGUGUAUGCACACAUAAGCAUGAGAAUUUUUGAUAAUCUCAAAACGAACACCAUCUGCCAACAUUAUGUCUCUUUGAAAUGAUAGAGAAACAUCAUCGUUAUAAUUUUACCUGUUUAAAUAUUACGUUCAUCCAACAAUCAAAGUCUUUUUCUUUUUUGCACAAAUAAAUACAUAACAGGUUGCCAAUAUGCUUCUGAAAACUACUGGAUUUCUAAAGCGCUUUAUUCUUUUAAAGCCAUUGUAGAGAUGAAUAAAGU